AUGAUCAAAUCCAAGAAAAAAAUAAUUGAGGUCAGUAGCAUUAGACACUUUUAUACACAAAUGAUACUCAAGUUAAAUAUUCACUUAUGUCCAUUUCCUCACUCAACAGGGCCUGUUUGGAGAAAAGGGUUUAAAAGGAUAUUCAGGACUUACUGGUCCAAAAGGAAAGAAAGGACCUCCUGGUCCACCAGGCCUCCCAGGUCCACCGGGCUUCUCUCUGAACCUAACACUGACUCAGCUAAAAGUAAGCAGCUGAUAAGUGAUUAAAGGUUUUCAAAUGUUUUUGCUCAGAAUCCAUUCAUAAUAUCAAGUGCGUAAUUACUCUGAUGUUAACUUAAUUGCUGUGUGACAAUGUUUUUUGUUUUUCCACACAAAUCAGGACCUCACAUAUUUCUCCAACAAGUCCAACUAUCCACUUGUUAAGACCCUGCUGGACUCCCUUCAGCAAGACCUGCGAUUCUUCAUAGAUCCUCCAGAUGGCACUAAGGAGCAUCCGGCCACCACCUGCUUGGAACUGAUGAUCAGUCAUCCUAAUUUAACCAGUGGUCAGAGUCAUUCUCAUGCAUGUUNAGAUCUCACUACUGUUCAAAUUUAAUGUUUUUGAAUGAAAUCUACGCUCACCAAGGCUGCAUUUACUUAAUCAAAAACAUUUAGUAAAAACAUUAAUAAUGUGAAAUAUUAUUAUAAUUCUAAAUAAGUGUUGUAUAUUUUACUAUAAAUAAAAACUGAAUUUAUUUCUGUGAUCGCAAAGCUGAAUUUUAAGCAGCCCUCAUCCCGAUCUUCAGUGUCACAUGAUCUUUCAGAAAUCCUUCUAAUAUGUGAUUUGUCGGGUCAAAAACAGUUUUGCUGUUUAAUAUUUUUGUGGAAACUGUGAUUCCUUUUUUCAGGAUCUAAUGAUGAAUAGAAAAUUCAAAAGAACCGUGUUUAUUUAAAAUAGAAAACCUGUUAUAAAUGCCAAGUUCUGUCAUGAAAUUCUAGAUGGUGCAGGCUGAUGUGUCGUUAAUGCAAACUGAUGAUAUUCCCAGCGUUAAACUACUUGGCACAAGCUGAUUGGUUCAUGUUGCAUAUGCAAUGGUUUACAUUUAAAGGCUGGUUAGCCAACAAUAGAACAGUGCUCUCAAACACAAUUCCUAGAGGGCCACAGCUCUGCAGCUUGGAAGUUUCUAGUAAUCCUGAAGACCUUGAUUAGCUGGAUUUAGGUGUGUUUGAUUAGGGUUGGAGCAAACUGUGCUAAGCGGUGUCCCUCCAGGAAUUGAGUGGAGACCUCUGAAAAACUUCACCUUCCCCAGCUCCACCUGUUUAGAUCUGCUUCGGGUUAUUAAAUAUGCUACUUGUACAGCAGCAGUAUGUCUUAAAUACUCACAGCACCGUAUUGGUGUAUGUAUUGGCAGUAGUAGGUUCCUGUACUUGCUUUGCAACAGGGCCAGCAAUACAGCAAUAAUCUACAGUACAACAGCAAUAACCAACAGCAGCAGCAGUGUAGCAGAUCUAUUCUGCCAAGACCAGUUACAUCAACAUUGUCAUAUCCAUCACCAUGCUAAAAUCUUCUGAGAUUUGUCAUGAUAGAAAUGUAUUUCUAAAUGCAUUUUCUGUCACUUUUGAACAAUUUAUUGCAUCCGUGUUGAUUUAAAAGUAUUAAUUAUUUAUUUAUUUUUAAAUCUUACUGACCCCCCAUUUCAAGCUUUGUGUUUAAUUAAUAUUAGGCUGAUAAUGAGACCUCUCUGCUUCAGAUCCCCGUGA
rnacentral:lncRNA from 12 species